GAUGAACGCUGGCGGCGUGCCUAAUACAUGCAAGUCGAGCGAACAGACGAGGAGCUUGCUCCUCUGACGUUAGCGGCGGACGGGUGAGUAACACGUGGAUAACCUACCUAUAAGACUGGGAUAACUUCGGGAAACCGGAGCUAAUACCGGAUAAUAUAUUGAACCGCACGGUUCAAUAGUGAAAGACGGUUUUGCUGUCACUUAUAGAUGGAUCCGCGCCGCAUUAGCCAGUUGGUAAGGUAACGGCUUACCAAGGCAACGAUGCGUAGCCGACCUGAGAGGGUGAUCGGCCACACUGGAACUGAGACACGGUCCAGACUCCUACGGGAGGCAGCAGUAGGGAAUCUUCCGCAAUGGGCGAAAGCCUGACGGAGCAACGCCGCGUGAGUGAUGAAGGUCUUCGGAUCGUAAAACUCUGUUAUUAGGGAAGAACAAAUGUGUAAGUAACUAUGCACGUCUUGACGGUACCUAAUCAGAAAGCCACGGCUAACUACGUG
rnacentral:rRNA from 1 species